rnacentral:snRNA from 1 species
UGACUCUCUUAAGGUAGCCAAA